rnacentral:rRNA from 1 species
UAGGGAAUCUUGCGCAAUGGGCGAAAGCCUGACGCAGCCAUGCCGCGUGAAUGAUGAAGGUCUUAGGAUUGUAAAAUUCUUUCACCGGGGAAGAUAAUGACGGUACCCGGAGAAGAAGCCCCGGCUAACUUCGUGCCAGCAGCCGCGGUAAUACGAAGGGGGCUAGCGUUGCUCGGAAUUACUGGGCGUAAAGGGCGCGUAGGCGGAUAGUUUAGUCAGAGGUGAAAGCCCAGGGCUCAACCCUGGAAUUGCCUUUGAUACUGGCUAUCUUGAGUUCGGGAGAGGUGAGUGGAACUCCGAGUGUAGAGGUGAAAUUCGUAGAUAUUCGGAAGAACACCAGUGGCGAAGGCGACUCACUGGCCCGAUACUGACGCUGAGGCGCGAAAGCGUGGGGAGCAAACAGGAUUAGAUACCCCGGUAGUCC